GACGAACGCUGGCGGCGUGCUUAACACAUGCAAGUCGAACGGAAAGGCCCUGCUUUUUUGGGGUGCUCGAGUGGCGAACGGGUGAGUAACACGUGAGUAACCUGCCCUUGACUUUGGGAUAACUUCAGGAAACUGGGGCUAAUACCGGAUAGGAGCUCCUGCUGCAUGGUGGGGGUUGGAAAGUUUCGGCGGUUGGGGAUGGACUCGCGGCUUAUCAGCUUGUUGGUGGGGUAGUGGUUUACCAAGGCUUUGAAGGGUAGCCGGCCUGAGAGGGUGAACGGCCACAUUGGGACUGAGGUACGGCCCAGACUCCUACGGGAGGCAGCAGUGGGGAAUAUUGCACAAUGGGCGGAAGCCUGAUGCAGCAACGCCGCGUGCGGGAUGACGGCCUUCGGGUUGUAAACCGCUUUAGCCUGUGACGAAGCGUGAGUGACGGUAAUGGGUAAAGAAGCACCGGCUAACUACGUG
rnacentral:rRNA from 1 species